GGGGCAAUUUAACACUUUAAAAGCUGUUUAAGGUAUAUGAAUGAGGGUUUACGGUCCAAGCAUGUUCUUGGGACGUAAAAUCAUGUUUACCCCCUAAAUGGUAAGAUUUUUGUGCUCUAAGUCCAUUCCUGCAAGUCCAAAGGUCAUAACUAAGCACUAGAAGUGGUUUGGAGGGGUUUUGGGGCUUCAAAACCCUCUUUAGAGGUGUUCACGGUUUUGCGAGGUGUUCCUAACCAUAAACACUUGUUCAUGGGUGUUUUGAGUGAUUCAAACAUGAAUUUGCAUACCAAUCGAGUUAAACAAUAAGUUAGGAUAGAUUGCUUACCAAUUUGAGGCUUGAAAGGGGGUUUUUGGAUCAAAAUCGGAUUUUAGAGAGAGAGUAGUGCGAGAAAGUGUUUUAAGAGAGAGAAAAACCUUCAAAAUGAUGUCACUCAAUCCCUUAUAUAGGGUUUGAGUUUGUGGCCCGGUGGAGUUCUACCCGAUACCGACGUUAAACGAGGCUUUUGGUCGUACCCGAUUUAAUUGUUGCAACCCAACGUAGUCGUAACUAAAAAAUUUCUAAAUAAUAAUUUAGGAUGCUUUCAUGUGUUUCUAAUGGGUUUGGAUACUCAUGAGGUCCUAAUAAAAGUCCCACUUUAAUUAAUUUAAAUCGAAAGUUAAUGGAAAAAUUGAAAUACGAUCGGUUUUACUAACGGAAAUGGAAUAUCGUGACGGACUAAAUUUCGGGUUGUCACAUUAUCCCCCCGUUAAAGAGAAUUUCGUCCCGAAAUUCAAAAAUUAAGAUACAACUUACAGACUUGGAAAGAGAUGCGGGUAUUUGUCUUAUUGAGUCUUCGCGCUCCCAAGUGAACUCGGGUCCGUGCUUGGCAUUCCAUCGAACCUUCACUAUUGGGAUGCGGCUUUGUUUCGUACGUUUGAUCUCUCGAUCCAUGAUUUCGAUUGGUUCUUCCAUGAAGUUCAGGUUUUCGUUGAUCUCGAUUUCAUCAAAGGGAUUACUAGGGUUUCAUCGGGUAGGUACUUCAUAAGAAUAUAGGCGUGGAAUACAAGAUGGAUGUUGCUAAGUUCUGAAGGUAGUCGGAGUUUGUAGGCUACGGAAUCGAUCCUAACGAGGAUCUCGAAAGGUCCUAUGUACCUCAGGUUAAGUUUUCCACAUUUUCCAAAGCGUAUCAUGUUUUACCGGGGAGAGACCUUUAACAGGACACGAUCUCCUACUUGGAAUUCUAAAUGUUUUUCGUCGUUUAUCAUCGUAACCCUUCUGUCGGUCUCGUGAAGCUUUCAAUCGUUCUCGGAUUUGGAUGAUCCUCUCGGUGGUUUCGCGGAUGAUUUCGAUACUAGGGAGAGUACAGUCGGGAAUUUGACUCUUGGCUAGCUGCGUGUCCCCUACUUCAGCCCAGCACAAAGGGGAUCUGAAUAGUUCUCUCACUCUGUCAGUCUGCCUGAGGACGAUAAGUUGUACUUAUAUCCAGCUUAGUUCCAAGGGCUUUCUGAAGGGACUGCCAAAACCUUGAGGUAAACCUGCCAUCUCUUUCGGAGAUAAUGGACACAGGUACACCGUGCAGUCAGACUAUCUGUUGGGUGUAGGUUCGUGUAAGUCUUUCCAUCUUAAUUGAUUCUUUAAUCGGAAGGAAGUAAGCGGAUUUUACCAUACGAUCGACACUUACUUAAAUGGUAUCGCACCCACUCGGAGAUCUGGGUAACUUGGUGAUUAAGUCCAUGAUAAUCAUCUCCCAUUUCCAUUCGGGUAUCUCGGGCUGCUGGAGCAAACCCGAGGGUUUCUGACUGGGCUUCUUGGAUUUGUGCGGAUAAGUGGGAAUGGAUGGUCAUCGUUAAUGUCUUCACCUUGCAACUUGAACUCUCCUUUUGGCUCAGGGCACCUGCUACCACAUUGGCUUUGCCGGGAUGGUAGUGGAUUUCACACUCAUAAACACUAAGCAUCUCUACCCAUCGCCGUUGUCUAAUGUUUAAGUCUUUCUGUGUCAAAGCGGUUAAGGGUUUGGUGAUUCUAGAGGAAAUUUUUGGAUGGACUUGUGAUAGUAGUCAGCGAAACCCAAGAAUUGAUGGAUUUCUGUGCGUGUCUUUGGUGCUGACAAAUUCUCUAUCGCCUUGAAUUUUGGACGGUUCCACGUGUAUGCCUUCCUUGCUUACCACGUGACCAAGGAAAGUGAUUAGGUCGAAGGGUAUCACUACAAACUCAUAGUGUCCAUAUCGAGUCCUGAAUGCUGUCUUGGAAACAUCAUUCUCGUGAACUCGAAUCUAAUGGUACCCUGAUCUGAGGUCUAUCUUCGAGAAGUAACUGGGUCCUUGAAAUUGGUCGAAAACGUCAUCUAUUCGAGGAAGAGGAUAUCUAUUUUUGACGGUUAACUUGUUCAACUCAUGGUAGUCUAUACUCAUCCAAAAGGAUCCAUCUUUCUUCUUCACAACAAUACUGGGGCUCCCCAGGUUGAGGAACUCGGUCUGAUGAUUCCUUUACUAAAUAGCUUACUGAGCUGGCUAGAUAACUCCUACAUUUCUGGUGGAGCUAAGCGAUAGGAAGAUUUGGCUACAGGACUUGCUCCAGGGAUUAGGUUGAUGCGAAACUCGACUUGACGUUCGGGAGGAAUUCCUGGAAACUCUUCGGGGAAAGACAUCAGGAAAGUUACAGAUUUCGGGGAUGCUCUCGAGGUCUUUAACUUCCUGUUUCUCGUUGAUUACAUGAGCUAGAAAUGCAUAACACUCCUUUCGCAUGAGUUUUUGAGCUUUGAUGUAAGAAAUGAUAUGAAGAUUUGAACUAAGAUUAUUGUUGUAGAUCAUAAGAGUCUGACCAGAGGAGAGAUUAAGACGGAUGGCUUUUCGUAACAAAGGAUAUUUGCAUGAUUGGAACUCAACCAAUCUAUGCCAAUGAUAACAUCAAAGCUCUCUAUGGAAACUGGCAUUAGGUCGAUGGGAAAGGAAUGAUCGUUCAGGAUAAGGGUACAGCCUAUGGAUCUAUCGUUGACGUAUUCUUUCUCACCGUUAGCUAUCUCGACGGUAAUUGGUUCGGUUACUAGACGAGGACUAUGUUUAAGAAGACGCUUGAAUGAAUGAUUACUAAAAUUUCUUUGGCACUAGAUUCAAAAAGGAUGCGAGUAUAAAAAAUUUCGAGAAGAAACGUACCCGCGACGUCGGUGGGGUCGGCGGCGGCCUCCUCCUGCUUUAUAGCCAGAGCUAUCUCAGCAUUGCUAGUUGUUGCUGCUUUGGGGCAGUUUCUCUUGUAAUGCCCGACUUCGCCGCAACCAUAGCAGGCCUGACUGAUACCCGCUCCAGAAGCUUGAUUGGUUGAUUGGGUUGGGGUUUUACAGCUUCGCGUAAGGUGACCCUCUUGGCCACAAUUUUAGCAUAAUUUCUCACGACAUGGACCAGGGAUACGAUGGUGGUAAUUGCAUCUGUUGCACCAAGGGAGGUUACCAGCAUACCCAGUGAUAGGUGCUUGAGCUGUAGACGCAGCAACAGGAGUAGUGGCAGCUUGAACUGCCAUAGUUUCAUGCCUCUUGGAGGGUCCUUAUGAACUCAGACCCUUUCGCUUUUUCCAGAUAACAUUAUUACUCUCAUUACGCUCAUUUUGAUGCUCCUGAACAUUUUCAUGGUUUUGAGGGUAGGUGUUACUUCCUGGUCCACUGGACCGGCUAGGGUUCAACAGCGUCAUUGCAGCCGUCACUACAGCAGUAACAGCUGUCUGAAAUAAGACAGGGCCGAACGGAGGAGAAUAUGGUGGCGGAGAGUUAUUGUUCCUAGAGCUGGGUCCUUUCUUUGGAGGCAUGAUGAUCUAAAAUGAUUAGGAAAAAGAGGAUGGUAAGUCCUCUGAAUUGAAUCAAGAGAUAUGAAACAGGGGAUAUCUCUUUAUGACAGAUAUAAGGUUCCAUAAGCGAUAAGCAGGAAAGAGUUAUCAAAGCAGAUAAACUAUCGCUAAAGAAGGAACGAGUAGCAAUACUCGGAAUGAAUUUAUACAACGUACUCGGCUUUGACUAAAAUACUCCCAUAGUAUUUUAUGUUUCGCUGCGACGACGGCUCGUUGUUUUGGCUAUUGGGUAAGUUUUAGGCAUGCUGCAUACCACAGUCACUCCCAAGCACAUGUUGGUCGUGCCUCGAAUGAAUAUAGUUGAUUAGGCUAUAUUGACCCUAGACACGACUACAUAACUGCCCAGGUUUAACCGCAGCGUACAACACCCAUUUACUUAUGUUUUGUUCUACUCGUAAUUACGAAAUCUGACAGUUAGGUAUACUUAUAUACUUUUCAAAAAUACUUAUAUUUUUUAGUAUACUUUUAGUUCAGAACACUUAGGCCCUUUAGUGUUUAUAUUCUUAUACCAUGUAAGGUUUGGUAUACAAGUUCACCAUAAACAAGGGCUCGGAUACCAAUCUGUCACACCCCGAAACCUAUGGCGGAAACGUUCCGAGGCGGAGGACGUCAUGAACUAUCGCAACCAAUGUACAUAGUAAGCAUAGUAAACACAAAACAUUACAUUACAUAGAUUCGUUACAUUUGUUUGAAAGUAAAGUAAUACAAGUUUUGUAGUUACAUAAGUUAAUCAAAAUAAGACGAGACUUCCAUACGCUCCGUCUUCUGCAAAAGAACGCGGGAUACCUGUCUAAGGAGAACCUGAGAAUACAAGCAGUUUAAAAAUCAGCAUAAAGCUUGUGAGUUCAUAAGCUGUUUGUNUUUGGUUUUCUGAAAAGUUGUUAUCCAAGAAAAUCCCAUAUUUUCUUAUAAAAACAGUUUAGUUAAACUUCUGAAUUCCGUUCGGUACAACAGUGGAUAGUUUAAUACAUAAAACUAUAUAUUGAAAAACCACUGGGAAUACCAUCCAGUACAACAGUAGAUAUUUUUAAUACAUAAAAAUAUAGAUUGAAAAGCAUGCGAAUACCAUCCUGUAUCACAGUAGGUAGUUUUAAUACACAAAACUAUAGAUUGAAAACCAUGGGAAUACCAUCCCGUAUCACAGUAGGUAGUUUUAAUACACAAAACUAUAGAUUGAAAACCAUGGGAAUACCAUCCCGUAUCACAGUAGAUAUAAAAACUAUAGAUCAAAGAUAAAUAUAAAAUCCAUGAAUAAACUAUAUUUUAAUACAUAUUGUGAGUCGUAUAACCAUGCUAAUGAGACCCGAGACCUCCUUGACGUUCUUCACGCGUCGGACGAUAUCUAGAAUUUGUCACCCUAGGCGUGCCCGCCUAACUGUAGCUAGCAAUUAAGGUGUGGGAUUGUCAGUCCCGAAUAGAUCUAUUCACAAAUUUCACGCUCUCCCUCCAGGAGACUCUGAUUAUACUUCCGGGGAGGAUUUAAUAAUAACCCUAAGUGGUAUAUUGAAGACUAAUCUCACAAGCUAGUAUUAAAUUAUUCACGGUGUACUCGGUCGCUAUCGAAUAUCAUAAUCAUUUUGAAACAUAAUAAAGUAUAAACAAUUGAAUACAAAGAAACUAUCCGGCAUAAUACUCUACUUUAAACAGAGAUAAACUGAAUCAGACAUAGUUUAUCUAUUAACAUUGCAUGAAAUCCGAAUUCAUAAAAUGAGAAUUGAAGAUCCCCAAUUAUUCCCAUAAUAAUUUGAUUGGUUUGAUUGUUUCCUUUACCGUAAUUGAAAUACAUGUAAUUAUAUUCAAUAAAACAUCCCUUAUGCUCCGCAUAAUACAUAAGGGGUAAAGAUAUCUAAAAGUUAGCAAGAUAUUUAUAGAAUUAAAUCAGUUUUAAGUUUUGAAAACAUUUAUAAUUUUCUUGGAUUCCCCCCUGAAAAAAUUGAAAAACACGGAAAAAGGCGUAGGGGUAUGAACUCACCAGACGAGAGAUGUGCCGGUUGGAUGCUAAUUGUCAGUUCAGGGCUCGAAAACAUGCGAGGUUCCUAUGUAAUAUGAAGAGAUACAUAAUUUGUAUCUAAUUAGACCUUGAUCUAUUAAUUAAAUAAGAAUAAACACUUCUAUACGCGAAAACAUUUCAAUUAAAGUGUUUGGAGUGACCCGGGUGGCAUCUAAAAGGGUGUGUGGCUUAGGCAUGGAGUUUACUCUUCAAGAGUAAACUCUUUGAGGAGUUUACGGCCUAAUGACCAUAUCCCCAUGAGUUUACGGCCGUAAACUCAUGGGUGGAGUGUUCUUGGGUGCUAAAUGGUCUUACAAUGCACAAGGGAAGGUUCUAGGGUUGAUUCCAUGGCUUAGGAAGUGAUUAGGACUUGAAUUGACUUAGGAAAAGGAGUUUAUGGUCUAAGAAGAUGUUCUUGGUGAGUUUACUACCUUAAACACAUGGGUUUACGACCGUAAACUCAUGUUUAUCCAUGAAUCAUGUGUUUUGGUGGUUGUAGGUUACGCAUAGAAAGUUCUAGGUCCAAUUUUAAGCCAAACAAGGUGUUAAGGGCACUUUAACACCCUUUGGAGGAGUUUAUGGUCUAAGGAUGGGUGUUUACGGUCCAAGAAUGUUCUUGGGCCGUAAAAUCAAGUGUGAAUCAUUUGUGUGUGUUUUGGUGCAUCUCAUGAAGGAAUAUAAGGUUCUGUGCACUCAUGGAAGCUCACAAAAGCUUUUGGAGGUGUUUAAGGGGCAAUUUAACACUUUAAAAGGUGUUUAAGGUCUAUGAAUGAGGGUUUACGGUCCAAGCAUGUUCUUGGGCCGUAAACUCAUGUUUACCCCCUAAAUGGUAAGAUUUUUGUGCUCUAAGUCCAUUCCUGCAAGUCUAAAGGUCAUAACUAAGCACUAGAAGUGGUUUGGAGGGGUUUUGGGGCUUCAAAACCCUCUUUAGAGGUGUUCACGGUUUUGGGAGGUGCUCCUAACCAUAAACACUUGUUCAUGGGUGUUUUGAGUGAUUUAAACAUGAAUUUGCAUACCAAUCGAGUUAAACAAUAAGUUAGGAUAGAUUGCUUACCAAUUUGAGGCUUGAAAGGGGGUUUUUGGAUCAAAAUUGGAUUUUAGAGAGAGAGUAGUGAGAGAAAGUGUUUUAAGAGAGAGAAAAACCUUCAAAAUGAUGUCACUCAAUCCCUUAUAUAGGGUUGAGUUUGUGGCCCGGUGGAAUUCUACCCGAUACCGACGUUAAACAAGGCUUUUGGUCGUACCCGAUUUAAUUGUUGCAACCCAACGUAGUCGUAACUAAAAAAUUUCUAAAUAAUAAUUUAGGAUGUUUUCAUGUGUUUCUAAUGGGUUUGGAUACUCAUGAGGUCAUAAUAAAAGUCCCACUUUAAUUAAUUUAAAUCGAAAGUUAACGGAAAAAUUGAAAUACGAACGGUUUUACUAACGGAAAUGGAAUAUCGUGACGGACUAAAUUUCGGGUUGUCACACAGUGAGGAUUUGGGACUGUGAAAAGAGGAUCAUUGGAGUUAUGUUCAAUUGAUCUAAUUCACAAAGUAAAGAUCAUAGACAAACAUAGUAUGCAUACUUGGUGUAUGGCAUGACUAGUGUUUAGAAAAAACAUAGUGUACAUGCUUGGAGCAUGGGACAACUAUUGUUUUAAAUUCAAGAAUAAAGUUGAUAGCUGAAACAGUAUACAAUGAAUAAUGUGUAAUCAUAUGGUGAUAAAUAAAAGGUGUUUUAUUUAUAUUCAUAAGUUUUGAUACCAUAUUGGAUUCGAUUAUUAUUGUGUUUCAUUUUGCAUGUUUUGACUUCCCGAAUAAACUGGGUUAUUCUUCCGGAAUGACUAAGUUAUUCAAACCAUCCACAGUCGGUCAUAUGUUGGAAGUAGAUAUGAAUUAAGACUGUCAUGGGUUGGCUUGUAGAGGUCUAAGGUGUUGGACAAAGGGCUACAACACUCAUGAGUGCUCAUAAGUUCUGAGUAUUGGAUUCAACCCGCGCUCAUUGGAAUCACUUCAUGGAUUUUAUCACGAGUGAUCAUGAGACGAUAAUAUCUUAUAUUCUUCAAACCUAGAGAUAUGAGUUGUUACUAUGAGUUGAUAGUACAUUGAUUGCACGAAAACGCAUUUGGUAACUCGGUGCUAUAAAACGUGCCUUUGUGUAUGAUUCAACAAGUAGUAGAACAAGUCAUAUGAGUCGAAGUUUAUCCAUUCCUUUUACCUUCGGGAUAAAAGCGAUAUUUGUGGUCCCCUCGAUGAUUUGGUGAUG
rnacentral:lncRNA from 1 species